rnacentral:rRNA from 1 species
GGCCAAUGCGGCGUCUACCAUGCAAGUCGAGCGGUAAGGCCCUUCGGGGUACACGAGCGGCGAACGGGUGAGUAACACGUGAGCAACCUGCCCCUGACUCCGGGAUAAGCGGUGGAAACGCCGUCUAAUACCGGAUACGACCGGCCGCCUCAUGGUGGCCGGUGGAAAGUUCUUCGGUUGGGGAUGGGCUCGCGGCCUAUCAGCUUGUUGGUGGGGUAAAGGCCUACCAAGGCGAUUACGGGUAGCCGGCCUGAGAGGGCGACCGGCCACACUGGGACUGAGACACGGCCCAGACUCCUGCGGGAGGCAGCAGUGGGGAAUAUUGCGCAAUGGGCGAAAGCCUGACGCAGCGACGCCGCGUGGGGGAUGACGGCCUUCGGGUUGUAAACCUCUUUUACCACCAACGCAGGCUCCCAGUUCUCUGGGGGUUGACGGUAGGUGGGGAAUAAGGACCGGCUAACUACGUGCCAGCAGCCGCGGUAAUACGUAGGGUCCGAGCGUUGUCCGGAAUUAUUGGGCGUAAAGAGCUCGUAGGCGGCGUGUCGCGUCUGCUGUGAAAGACCGGGGCUUAACUCCGGUUCUGCAGUGGAUACGGGCAUGCUAGAGGUAGGUAGGGGAGACUGGAAUUCCUGGUGUAGCGGUGAAAUGCGCAGAUAUCAGGAGGAACACCGGUGGCGAAGGCGGGUCUCUGGGCCUUACCUGACGCUGAGGAGCGAAAGCAUGGGGAGCGAACAGGAUUAGAUACCCUGGUAGUCCAUGCCGUAAACGUUGGGCGCUAGGUGUGGGGACUUUCCACGGUUUCCGCGCCGUAGCUAACGCAUUAAGCGCCCCGCCUGGGGAGUACGGCCGCAAGGCUAAAACUCAAAGGAAUUGACGGGGGCCCGCACAAGCGGCGGAGCAUGUUGCUUAAUUCGACGCAACGCGAAGAACCUUACCAAGGUUUGACAUCACCCGUGGACCUGCAGAGAUGUGGGGUCAUUUAGUUGGUGGGUGACAGGUG